rnacentral:rRNA from 1 species
AACAGGAUUAGAUACCCUGGUAGUCCAUGCCGUAAACGAUGAGUGCUAGGUGUUGGAGGGUUUCCGCCCUUCAGUGCCGGAGCUAACGCAUUAAGCACUCCGCCUGGGGAGUACGACCGCAAGGUUGAAACUCAAAGGAAUUGACGGGGGCCCGCACAAGCGGUGGAGCAUGUGGUUUAAUUCGAAGCUACGCGAAGAACCUUACCAGGUCUUGACAUCUUGCGCUAACCUAAGAGAUUAGGCGUUCCCUUCGGGGACGCAAUGACAGGUGGUGCAUGGUCGUCGUCAGCUCGUGUCGUGAGAUGUUGGGUUAAGUCCCGCAACGAGCGCAACCCUUGUUACUAGUUGCCAGCAUUCAGUUGGGCACUCUAGUGAGACUGCCGGUGACAAACCGGAGGAAGGUGGGGACGACGUCAGAUCAUCAUGCCCCUUAUGACCUGGGCUACACACGUGCUACAAUGGUCGGUACAACGAGUCGCUAACCCGCGAGGGCAAGCUAAUCUCUUAAAGCCGAUCUCAGUUCGGACUGUAGGCUGCAACUCGCCUACACGAAGUCGGAAUCGCUAGUAAUCGCGGAUCAGCAUGCCGCGGUGAAUACGUUCCCGGGCCUUAUACACACCGCCCGUCACACCAUGGAAGUUUGUAACGCCCAAAGUCGGUGGCCUAACCAUUUGGAGGGAGCCGCCUAAGGCGGGACAGAUGACUGGGGUGAAGUCGUAACAAGGUAACC